ensembl:snoRNA
AAGCAACACUCUGUGGCAGAUUGAUCAAAACUGACAAAAUUUUAGCUCGUUAUACAGCAAGAAAGUCUAACCUAUUCUGGUGUUCUCUCUUGCAUGAGACAAACCGUUGUCUAGACUUAAACUGU